UGAGUGUACUGUAUAGAAUGACACUGAUCCCUGUCAGAUAAACCUAAUUACUUACUACUAACAAUACUGCAGCUGUACCAUUAUUCCACUUACUGUAAAUAAUGUAACCAACUACAUUCAUUCACUGUGACUGUGAAAUAAGCAACAAUCAACUUUACCCUUUAUAUCAAACUUUGCAAUAUUGUACACUAAACAUUUUUAAAACAGUCACCACUACAGCACAACACAAUGUGAAGAUGUUUUGUGAAAGAUGCAAAACAUUUUAAUUUUACUGCAUUUUUGCAGCAGAAAAAAAAAAUACAGGUUGCCUUGACGACCAAGCAAAGAAGAAAACCACAAGAUAACGCAGUGAAAGGCGCAUGACUCAUGUGAUUAGUGUUUUUUGUUUGUUUUUUUUUUUUUUAAGAAAAAGUUGAACACAGCAGCCACCUGCCCCAAUAAAACCAGAUCAUCUGCACAGCUACAAAAGGUAGGUCCAAAGAAAACUAGCUGAGCUGCACAACAUAACAGGGAGACAACUGCCUGUCACUAUAUACAUAGUGAGCAAAUGUGUGUUGUUCCCGAACACUCUAGGCAAGAUGUAAUGAGGAACCAUCUGAGCAGGUGUAUGAAGGUACCGUAGGGGUCAUGGGGAUUACAGCAGCAGGGCGUGGUGACCUCAGGCAAGCCAGAUUACUGCUCUUAAUCAGCCUCCCUGCAGAGGCCUUGGACGCAUUUCUUGCACACUGGAUAAUCAAUUUGCUGCUCCUCCGCCUGCACCCUAUCCUUGACAACAGUCCAUGCAUGGUGAGAAGGGAAGCAGCGUACGCUCCCCUUUCCCCCAGCUUCUUCACUUCUCUCUGCUGUUGACAAAUACACACAAGCAAACAUUCACCCUUGGGGGAGAUUCAACAAUAAGAGUGCAUUCAAGAAAGUACAGCCAAGACCAGAAGUCCAGGUCAGCAACUGGGCCACUCACUUUGGGUAGGCAGGGUCUACCAUGCGAAGAAUGAGCUGAAUGACGGUGCUGUAGAACUGCAGACAUCUGCGGAGC